UUUUAACUCACCUUUUGCUCUUACAGAGUUGAGUGGAGCUUACUAGAUAUUUUUCUUUGAUGAAAGAAUCUUCUCUUUGGUAUUAAUAUAAUAUAAAUAUAAUCCUGUUGACCAAAAUCAAUCAAAACUCAUUUCACAUCAGUCCUUCUUGCCGGCUUAAUUUGUUCUCUUGUCACUAUUUUAUCAUUUCCAGCAUUAUUGGUAUGGAGGCAGACCUCUACCCUUAUGUAGGGGUGGGCGCGGUGCGGUUUGGUGCGCUUUCGAGUGAAAUCACAACCGAAAUCGAAACUUUUUGCGGUGCGGUGCGGUGCGGUUUUGAAGCCAAAACCGAAAUGAAACCAAACCGUUUGGUUCUGUUCGGUGCGGUUUCAAACGGUUUCAAGCGGUUUCAAACUUAAAUACAAUCCCCCAAAACAUGCACCCACUCUCUGCGACCAAACCCCUCUCCUCUUUCCCCAAAAUCCCAAAAUCACGCCCCCAAAUCUCUGCGUCCAAUAUGAAAAUGUAUGUAAAACGAAAGUGAGAACCAAUAGCAGAAAUGUUCUAAUCAUGCAGUCUAAGCCACUCAGAGUUCGCCAUCACCAUUCUUUAACGCAAAAUCUCAUUGAAAAUGUAUGUAAACGAAAAGAACACCAUUUUCAGCUACAACCUUACAAAUGCAAACACAUAAAUGGCUUUGCUGCAGAAUUUCAGCUGAAACUAACAGAGGCUGGGCAAAUAUAAACAAACAAAUCCAAUCUCAACCUCUCUCUCACCGGAACUCUUCUCUUCUUCUUCCUCUCCCUUCCCGCCCUCCUCCUCCUUCAAAUCCAGCGUCUGCAACUCACCAGCUCCGUCCUCCUCCUCCUUCAAAUCCAGCUUCUGCAACUCACCAACUCCGUCCUCAUCCACCUUCUCUGUCGAAUCCAGCUUCUGCAACUCAUCAGGUUCUUCAUCCCCCUCCUCCACCGGCUCUUUCAAAUCCAGUUUCUGAAGCUCGUCGAGGACCGCAUGAUCUAGAUCAGACGGUGUGGGAUCGGGAUCCGGGGAGGAAGGCAGAGACCCCUGGUCGGAAUGAGCGUGGUUGGUGCUGGGGGUUUCGAGAUUUGGGGGAACAACAGAGGUUGCUUCAGAGAGUGCCAUUCUCCAUCCACAUUUCAAAACCCUAACUUUUUCAGAUAUGAAAAUGAACUGAGUCUAUCUUUGACCGAGAGGGAGAGAAAAAUGGAGUUGGCAGAAGCAGUCGCUCGCAGGCAGGCAGGCAGAAGCAGUCGCUCGCAGGCAGGUAGGCAGGCAAAAGCAGAUGCAAGCAGGCAGUCAGGUGAUCAGGUCGCAAAGGCAGAUGCGGAGAUGCAAGGAGGCGGCGCAGAAGCAGUCACUGAAAGUGCAAACCCACUCGGUGCAAACCCAGAACCGCAAAACCAAAUGUAUAAGUAUAACCUAGUUGAAUGAACUAAAUAAAAAUAAAAAAGUGCGGUUUCGGUUUCGGUUUCGGUGCGGUUUUGAAAACCCAAAACCGAAACCAAACCGUUUUGUGUGCCGCGGUUUGGUUUUGAAACCGAAACUGUUUCAAAACCGCAAAACCAAACCGUUUGGUGCGGUUUGAUUCGAUUCGUGUUUCGGUUUCGGUUUUCGGUUUCAAGUGCCCACCCCUACCCUUAUGUUUGGAUGCAUUUUUCAUUCCUUCUUAUUUUGUGUGGUCAUGAUUAAAUCAUGUCAAUAUUUUAUAUUAAUUUUUUUAUAGAUAUAAUAAGACAAAAAACAAUAAAAAUAUAAAAUGUGGGAAAUUUUAUUUACACCCAGUAAUCCUCUUUUCGCACCCAACUUAAAAAUUUUGUCCCACAAACUUACCUUUUUACCCUCAAAUACAAAAUUUACAAACUUUAAAAAAAAAGAACACAAACACGUAAACCCACCCAACCACCUACUAUGGCAGUAAUCGGAUUUGAUUCCGAUUGUCAUUACAAAAAUUGUCACCACCGACCUACUCUUUAUCUCGUCAAUGUUCAAUUCUUCGUGCUCAUCUCUAUAGUGGUGGUGACAAGGUCACGGUUGCACGUUGCAGCCUAGGUGAGCAGCGGCUGCGAUUUGGAAGAAGGGGCACGAUUUGGUCUGCCUAUGGCGGAACUGACCAAAUCCCUAAACAAAUUUGGGUUUUUAUUGAUGACGGUGAUCGGGGUGGCGAAAACCGCAGGAGCCACGAAAGUCCAUCUCUUUCCGAAGAUAUCCCCGACCAUAGAAGUCGGGCCGUUGGUCAAUCCGGGUCGGGCGCUCUGGGUCGGAGCCUACUGGUGGGUCCAGGAGGUGGUUCUACUGAUAGUGGGUUGUUGCCAGGCAGGUCGAGAUUGGGCGGCGAUGGUGGAUGAGGAGAAAAAAGAGGUCUUAUUCUUCUGGUCGUUGAGCAAUUUGGAUCGGCUCGAUCCGAGACCCAGAUCAAAGUUGAAGUUGGAAUUCAUGGUAAUGAAAUUGAAAUUGUUUACUAUUCUGGAUCAAAAGAAACAAGAUUCGAUUGCGUACCUAAGAGAAGAGAGUCUUCUCAAGGCCACUUCGACACACCCAUUCGAUAGUUUAUAAUAUAUUUCUAUACCCAUCUUUUCAUUAGGGUAUAAUUGGAAUAUAAAAUUUUAAAAAAUAUUAGUGGGUUUAGAGAUAAGUUAACUGGGUUCAAAUAAAAUUUCCCAUAAAAUGUUGAUGUGGCUUAACUGUGACCGCACAAAAAUAGAAUUUUAUGGGAUAAUUUCUGUGUAUUCCAUAAUUCUCAAUAAAAAGGUAUGUACAACCCUAGUUACAAGAAAGGCAACAAAUAAAGGACAUAAUACCUUUCCUAAAAUUCGACUCUAGUAAUUACAAAAUAUUUACAUUCCCUUUUCUACUAAAUAUUAACUUAUUCCAAUACUCCCCCUCAAGUUGGAGCAUAGAUAUUACUCAUGCCCAACUUGACAAGUGACUCACCAAACCUUCUACUGCACACUGCAUGGGUAAGUACAUCUGCAAGUUGUUCAUCUGAGUUCACAAAUGGUGUUGACACGAUUUUCUUCUCCAGCUUUUCUUUGAUAAAAUGUCUAUCAACUUCAACAUGCUUAGUCUUGUCAUGCUGUACUGGAUUCUCGGCUAUCUCUCUAGCGGACUUAUUAUCACAAUACAACUUCAUUGCCUCAUUCUGUGUAAAACCAAGACUCUCAAGUAACUUUCGCAGCCAAAGCAUCUCACAUACACCAUGUGCCAUUCCCCUAUAUUCGGCUUUGGCAGAAGACCAUGACACCACAUUUUGCUUCUUGCUCCUCCACGUAACCAAAUUACCUCCAACGAAUGUAAAAUACCCGGAUGUAGACCUUCUAUCAGUCACAUCACCGGCCCAAUCAGCAUCCGUAAAUCCCUUGAUCCUCAUAUGCCUAUGACACUUAUACAAAACUCCUUUACCCGGAGCAGACUUUAAGUAUGCCAAGAUUUUCAUCACUGCCUCCAUAUGAUCUACACUUGGUGAGUGCAUAAAUUGACUAACCACACUUACCGCGUAAGCAAUAUCCGGACGAGUAUGAGACAAAUAAAUCAACCUCCCCACCAGUCUUUGAUAUCUACCUUUGUCGACCGGUUCCUGAUCUGGAUAAAUCCCCAAAUAAUGUUUCUCUACGAUAAGAGUGUCCACAGGUUUACACUCCAGCAUGCCUGUUCCCUUUAAUAAAUCCAGAACAUAUUUACGUUGAGACAAGAAAAUACCUCUAGAUGACCGAGCGACUUCCAUUCCAAGAAAGUAUUUUAAAUCUCCCAAAUUCUUCAUCUCAAACUCGGCAGCAAGGUUUUGUUCAAGCUUCAUCAUCUCUUCUGAAUCAUCACCGGUUAUUAUCAUGUCAUCUACAUAAAUUAUUAAGGCAGUCACUUUACCACUUCCCCAUUUCACAAAUAAUGUAUGAUCCGAAUGACUUUGAUAAUACCCAAACCUCCUCAUAACCUGAGUAAAUCUCCCAAACCAUGCACGAGGUGAUUGCUUAAGUCCAUAGAGUGACUUUCACAAUCUACAUACUACGGUUUUUCCUCCGGCAUUGUACCCCGGAGGAAAAUCCAUAUAUACCUCUUCUUCUAAGUGCCCAUGAAGAAAGGCAUUCUUUACAUCAAAUUGUUUCAGUGGCCAAUUCAAGUUUGCAGCUAAAUAAAUCAGAACACGUACCGUAUUCAUCUUCGCUACCAGAGAAAAAGUUUCCUGAUAGUCAAUACCAUAAGUUUGAGUAUACCCCUUUGCUACUAACCUUGCUUUAUAUCUAUCUACCGAUCUGUCUGCCUUGUAUUUAAUUGUAAAGACCCAUCUACACCCAACCGGCUUCUUUCCUUUGGGUAGCUCCAUUAUUUCCCAUGUACCAUUUUUAUGUAGUGCCAUCAUUUCCUCAUCCAUUGCAGCAGCCAAUUUAGGACCUUCAAGGCCUCCUCCACUCGAGUUAGUGCUUGGAGUGCUUCCACAUUAUUUACCCAGGCUUGACGUUCCGGUGCAAGGUUCGAGCAUGACACAUAGUUAGCUAUUGGAUACUUCACUUUCCCUUUAGGAGAAAACCUGUUAGGAGGAACACCACGAUUUUGCCUUGGCGGCAACUAAUAUGUACUCAUAAUAUUAUCUUGAUUAGUUACAUGAGCAUUAGUAGUACUUACCUCAUGAAUAUUCAAAGAAGACACAUUGGGUGGCACUAUCGAGCUCGAGAGAGAAGGGGUAGUGGGUUUGGUAGUUCCUUGCUGCUGAAGAGGUGUAACAGGUUCGGCAAUAUCACACUCGGCAGCAGCUCCCCCUCCUGCAUUACACUCGGCAUCCUGUGGAGAUCCACUAGCUCCACUCACGGUAUCCCCAUUCACGGCAUGCACGGCAAGGUCUUGCCGUGACACCUCUUCACUAACAUUUGUAUCACCAAUUUCUCCCCCUACGCUACAUAUUUCCAACCAUCUAAGAUCACCACAAGUAGUCUCCCCCUGGUGAUCGAAAAGUGGUGGAACCGAAGCAUAAAAGAACUCGGACUCAGAAAAAGUAACAUCCAUGGUCACAUACAUAUGGCGAGUUUCGGGGUGAUAGCACUUAUACCAUUUUUGUUGAGGAGAAAAACCCAGAAAAACACAUCGGUAAGCACACGGAUCUAGCUUACUCCGAUGAACCUUGUGAAUAGGAACAUAAACUACACACCUGAAUACACGAGGAGGAAGAUGAUGACUCGAUACAAUGGGUACAAAAUCUAUCAACACUUGAAGAGGUGUUCUAAAGUCCACAACCCGGGAAGGCAUACGAUUAAUGACAUACACUGCAUAGGUGACAGCUUCAGGCCAGAACCGUUUAGGAACUGACGCACCAAUGAGCAAAGCAUGGGCAGUUUCCAGGAUAUGGGGGUUAUUUCUCUCAGCAACCCAUUUUGUUGUGGGGUAUGAGGACAAGUGGUCUCAUGUAAGAUUCCUUGAUCCUGAAUAAAACCGGACAACUCGGAACCAAUAUACUCUCAUCCAUUAUCUGAGCGAAGAACUUUAAUAACAGAGGAAUAUUGUGUAGCUACCAUUUGAGAAAAGGACCGAAACACCAUACUCACAUCACUUUUGUUUUUCAUCACAUAAAUCCACGUCAUACGAGUACAAUCAUCCACAAAGGUAACAAACCAUUUAACUCCAGAUAUAGUACUAACAGGAGAGGGACCCCAAACAUCUGAAUGCACAAGAUCAAAAGGAAAUAAUCUUUUAUUCAUACUAGGAGGAAAUGAAACGCGAUGACUCUUCGCGAGAAUACAUACUUCACAAUGUAAGUCUGAUUCUUUUAUUUCAUAAAAUAAACUAGGCAACAUACGCCUUAAAUAACCAAAGGAAGCAUGUCCUAACCGACGAUGCAAUAACCAAACUUCUUGUAAAUUAUUAGUACGGGAUGCUCGAACCAUAUUAGCUCUGCCAGGAACGACGUCAUCCACAUAAUAUAAUCCCUCUCUCUUAGUGCCACGCCCAAUUAUCUCCUUGGUCUGAAUAUCCUGAACCAAACAAAACAUUGGAUACAUAAGUACAACACAAUCUAAUUGCUCAGUAACUUGAGGAAUAGAUAACAAAUUAUGAGACAACGAGGGAACAAGCAGGCAGUGAUUGAGGGGAAGGGCCGGUGUGAGUUGUAUUGUGCCGGCCCCUAAAACUGGUGCUAUUGUUCCGUUAGCCGUUGCUAUACACUCCCGUGGACUUGCUGUCAUACUAGUAAAUAAAUUCUUAUCAAAAGUCAUAUGAUAAGUUGCACCCGAGUCUAGAAUACAACCUGGAUGAUGCUCCAUAUCAGAGGCUAAAAGAACACGCCCCAUACUACCUGAAGUGUCAUGGGUUUCACUAUGAGUGGUCUUGGUCAACAAGCUGUGACUCGGGUCACUUGAGGAGGGCACGACAUCCUUGAUGGCAAUGGCACUGGAUCCACGGCUUCGACUUGCUCCAUUAGCAGCUCGCUUCUUGGCACGUAAUUUUUUCUUCAAUUCGGGAAACCAUUCGGGUACCUCAUGUUUCUGAAAACAUGUAUCCUCUGUAUGACGGGUUUGACCACAAAAGGUGCACUUCAGAUCAUCCUUGUUUUCUCGAGUGAAUGGCUGAGAAUUGGCCAUUGGAGAUGGGUUAAACCCUCGGUUACCUGAUGGUAGCCGUGAUACCAUGGCUAUGGGAUGAGCUCCUCCUUGGUUCCCCACACCACUACUUCCCAUCAUAGUUGCAUGGCGUUGGGCUUCUCGCCUAACAACAGAGAACACCUCAUUUACAGAUGGUAAAGGUUGAGUUCUCAAAAUAUCACUACACACUUUGUAAAAAAUAUCAUCAAGCCCUGCUAGGAAAGCAUACACACGGUCCAGUUAAAUUUCUUCUCGGAGUGUCUUCAAGUCAACUACACACUCCAUCUUGAUUGGUCUUCUCUGAUCCAAUUCUUGCCAAACUGCUUUGAGAUCGGCAUAAUAUACACCGAUAGGUCUUCCUUCCUGGUGAAGUUGGAAUGACUUCACCUUCAACUUAUAAAUCUGAGAAAUAUCAGACCCAUCAUAAUAUGUUCGAGCAACUUCUUCCCAGACUUUUUUAGCAGUACGAAGAUGAAUGAAAAAUCCCAUAAUGGUAGGAUCCAUGGAAUUAAUCAACCACCAUUUUACAAUUGCAUUCUCGGUCUCCCAAGCUUCAUACUCAGCACUGUCCUCUUUGGGCUCUUUGAUGCUUCCUAUCACAAACCCUUUCUUACCACGUCCCGCGAUAUGCAUCUCCAAUACCUUGGACCACAAAUGAUAGUUUGAUCCAUUUAGCUUUACAGUACUUGGUACGGCCGAAGCAUCACUUUGAAUAACCACCAGAUUGACGACUGACCCAUGGGUGGUGCCAGACGCCUCACCCUCUAACUUCAAACCCGUCUCACCUUUGUUACCUGCCAUUAAUUACAACCUUACAAUACACACACGCACGCAGCAAAUAGUCACCACGAUUGCAGCGACCAAUAGUCAAACUUGCUACAGGGAUGCAGCGGCAUUAUCCAGACUUGGCUGGAUUUUUUUCCUGGUUUCACGAUGGCAGCAGCACGGUGGAAGUUCUAGGGUUACUCUUGGCUUUGGUGCCAAAUAGAAUUUUAUGGAAUAAUUUCUGUGUAUUCCAAUCUCAAUAAAAAGGUAUGUACAACCUUAGUUACAAGAAAGGCAACAAAUAGAGGACAUAAUACCUUUCCUAAAAUUCGACUCUAGUAAUUACAAAAUAUUUACAUUCCCUUUUCUACUAAAUAUUAACUUAUUCCAAUAGGAGGGGAUAGGAAUGGCACCUAAUCAGGAGGGCAGACAAUCUGCCUCCUUAUUGGUAUACCGACUAUGGCAAGUAUGUUAGCCAACAAUAAUAAGCCAAUUCUUUAUUGUUGGAUGUCGUUGUCAUAGAGUUACGAUUUUCAUUUUUUAACCAUAUGCACUCUAAACUGUAUAUUUUACAUUCUUUCUACUCACAUAGGAGUGCAGGAGGUUGAAAAUGAGUGCCAAAAUUACGGUGUGAUAGAGAUUCACAUAACUGCUCCUAGUAACAUGAACUUGCUUACUUGAGGUAAAACCCUUGCUUGAGGUUUCCUUCAAAUAGGUCUUCUUGAAGGCUGAUUUGGUGUUCGAAAACUUAACUAGUCGAAAGUUGAGGCAACUCAAUUAUUGCGGCUGGAUUUAUCUACAGUGCUACAACUAUUGAAAAGUUGAAAGUUAGUGCUUAAUGAUAGGAAGCUUGCUUAGUUGGGUUCUUUGAUAAUAACAUAGGGGAUGCUGGACCAUUGUUAGUGCGGCAUCUACAGGACUACGAAGAUUGUGGGUGGAUUUAUCUACCGUACUAUAACGAUUUUAAGGUUGAAAUUUGGUGCUUAAUGAUAGCAAGCGUGCUUAGUUGGGUCCCUUGAUAAUAACAUAACGAUGCUAGACCACAGUUAGGGGUGGUUUGGAAGUAAGGUGCUUAAAAAAAAAGCACCCAUGAAAAAAGCUGUGAGGGUUUUAGGUGUUUGGUAAACUAAAAAAAAUGGCUUAUUUUGGAAGCUGCUUUGAGAAUAACUUUAAAUCCAAAGGAAAAGCUGAAGCAGCUAUUUCCAGCUUUAGAAAAUUGGCUUUUUUUCAAAGCAUACGGAGCUACAGUGCUUUUUUAAUGAAAAGACCCACUAUCAAACUGUUUUUUUUUUUUCAAAAGCACUUUUACAAAAAAGUUUACUAAACACUCUGUUGAUUUAUUUCACAGCCGCUUAUUCUCACAGCAGUUUUUUUUCAAAGUACAACAAUACCAAACCAGCCCUUAGUGUGGCAUGUACAAGACUGCACCAUCUUGUUUACACGUUUAUAUAACGAUGGGAGCUUGUGAACAUGCAUGUCAAAAAAAGGAAACCACGCUGACAGAGUUGCAUCAGCUGGGUUGUAAGAUGGAUGCAUCACUCUCUGUGGACAGAGAAGGACAAAUGGUGGAUGAUGGUGGUAAAUGCGGUGGUUGGAUCAUCUUUUUAUUCAUGAUAGGUAUCUCUCUCUCUUUCUCCCCCUCUCACCCCCUCCCUCUUUCAUGCACUUCUGUUAUUCACUUAUGACUACAAGGAAGUGAAAAAGAAAACUUCUUUCUUAGCAAACCAUGUGAUCUUAUUUUAUUUUGAGCAGGAACUUUAAUGUGCUUGACACUUGCUGCUGGAGGAUGGCAAGCAAAUCUGGUUGUGUAUCUGAUUGAGGAGUUUAACGUGAAGAGCAUUGAUGCUACUCAGGUGGGAAAUGUUGUGAGUGGUUGCACUAGUUUAUUUCCUAUCAUUGGAGCAAUUGUUGCAGACUCCUUAUUUGGCUGUUUCCCGGUCAUCCUGAUCUCGUUUUGUGUCUCUUUUUUGGUAAUAGCCUCGCUCUGUCACCACUCUAACAAGCACACACACUCACAUAACCAUAAUAGUUCUGUUAAUUGUUGAUGUAGGAUUAAUACACUUCCAAUUUGCAACGUAAAGUUGAGUUUUAUAGGAUAAUACACUUUCAAUUCUCUGCUUAAUGGAACAGUAUUAGCCUACAAUGAAGCAUCUGAAGCAUCUGAAACAUCUGAAUCCUUAAAUAGUUGGUGCUAGAGACACGGUAGGAAGGUUUCCAUAUUUUCUUCUCGUAUUUGGAAUUUGAGUUGUACAUCGGGUACCUGCGGGCAAUACAUAUCGUCGCAUUUUUCAAUUUUCCUGUUGAACCAACUUGUUCUCUGAAAAUCUUCAAUACACGUCUAGUCUCAUUUUUAAAUUCAUUACAAUUUAUUCUUCGCAGGGAUUGGUCUUAUUCACUUUGACUGCAACUAUUGAUUCCUUGAGGCCCCCUUCAUGUGAGAAUGGAUCUAGCUUGUGCGAAACACCAUCAAAAGUUCAGUUUGCAGUGCUAUAUGCUAGUAUAACACUGAGAUCAAUUGGACUAGGAGGCACUCGCUUUACUAUAGCAACAAUGGGAGCAAACCAAUUUGACAAGCCUAAAAAUCAAGGGAUUUUCUUUAACUGGUUUUUCUUUGCCAUGUAUACGGCGACUGUUGUAAGUUCUACUGUCGUUGUGUAUAUUGAGGAUAAUGUCAGUUGGGGGUUGGGAUUUGGCCUAUUUGCUCUUGUUAAUUUGAUUGGUCUGGUCAUAUUCUCAUCUGGAAUCCAUUUAUAUCGUCGUGAUAAGCCACAAGGUAGCCCAUUCGUGAAUAUAGCUCGUGUUGUUGUUGCUAGUAUCCGGAAAUGGAAUAUUAAGCUCACAUCCCCAAGGGAGGAUUACCACUACCACAAUGAUGGAGAGGUAAAAACAACUCCCGCAACACCUAAAAGAGUUUCAGGUACCGGAAUUUCCACAGGUCUUAGUGUCUUCUUUAUUGCACGCCUCUUGUUUUUUGACAUGGUGCGUAUAAUUCAAAUGAGCUUUUCCCCGAUGUUUUUGAUCUGUAAUCAUCAUGUUGUUGAGUACGGAAGGAUACACAGUGCCAUACACAUUGAAGGAAAUAAUGAUGAUAAGAAAUUUUCCUUUUGCUCUCUUGUUGCAGAUUCCUGAACAGUGCAGCCCUGGAAACAUAAGGGGACUCGAAGCCCGACGGCUCCAUUGCCAGGCCAUGGAGGUUGUGCACAGUCCAGCAAGUAGAAGAUCUCAAAACUGUCAUUAAAAUUUUCCCCUUGUGGGCAUCCAACAUAUUUAUAAGUACCCCAUUAGCGAUUCAAAUAAGCUUAACGGUCCUGCAAGCUCUAAAGAUGGACCGUCACAUUGGAUCACAUUUCAAAGUCCCGGUUGGAUCUGUCAUAGUCGUGGUUACAAUCGCCACUUGCAUUGCUCUCCCAAUAAUUGAUCGUAUCCUAUAUCCCGUCUGGCAGAAACUGACCCAUAAAUCUCAAACUCCCCUCCAAAGACUAGGAAUUGGUCAUGUCCUAAAUAUCACAAGCAUGGCUGUUUCCGCAUUGGUUGAGUCAAAGCGUCUCAAAACAGCUCAUGGUUCCAUGGUGCCAAUGUUGGUCAUGUGGUUAUUCCCACAGUUGGUUUUGGCGGGCAUCGGUGAAGCAUUUCAUUUCCCGGGGGAACUUCAGUUUUGCUAUCAAGAAUUUCCAGCAUCACUUCAUACCACGGCGACUGCAAUGGUUGCGAUGAUAUUAGCCAUUGCUUUUUACUUGAGCACGGCGCUUUUCACUUCAUUGUUCAUCAGAAAUACUAUUUCCAAUGGUAAAAAAUGCAAUCCUUGAACGUUGGUUAUGACUCACUCGACCUUCCAUACCAACCAAAUGUUGAAACACCCAACCAUACCAUCUUGUGAUAGUUACUAUUUACUAAUCUUGAUUAUGCUUUCAAUGUGUUUGACAAAAUGCUUCAGAUGCGUCCUCUACCGUCCGUUGUCUGCUUCGAAAGAAGAUCUUCUCCGGAUUCACUUUGUGGGAUCCUAGAUAUCCUGACAUCCUAACUGCUUAUCGUACAUCGUACGGUCAGUUUUCGUCAGGUACUAUUUGUGUUUAAGUUUAAAUAAAAAAAUAUCCUAAGUCACGUGCUAUCUAGACCAUGUGGGUUUUUAAGUAAAACGACGAGCAUUGAUGUGUUGUAUGACAACACCACCUAGGUCACGUGGGAGGCUGAUAGUCUCAUCAUUUUUUAUUAAAAAACAAAAAACAAAAAGACUGGACUUUCUAAGGAAGCUUGUCUGCCCUCUUGUUACUGUGCCAUUUCCAUAUCCUCUUAUUUGUGCGGUCACGGUUAAGCCACGUCAACAUUUUAUAUUGAUUGUUUAAUAAAGAUAAUAACAUAAAAAGCAAUAGGAAUAUAAAAUGUUAAUGUGAUUUAACCGUAACUGCACAAAUAAAAGAGAAUGAGAAUGAUAGGAUAACAUGAGGGCAGACAAUCUACCUCCAAUUUCUAAGAAAGUCCACCCGACCCAUAUUAUUAUACAUACUAAAAUUCAGUCUUCCGACACUGUUUCAUCAACAGUGAAAGGGUGAAACUACCAUCGGGUUCUUCUUUUCUCCGCAUACUGUUUCCACGUUUCUACAAUGAAAAGUUGGUUAUGCCCUUCCUAGCCACGCGUCUUUCAUCGUUUGUUUCUCUGCUUGGGCAGCAUCUUUUUUGCUUUACCCUUCUUCUUCGUUUUCAAUUUCAUGAGUCUGGGACGAAGCAAAAAAUUUAACUAAGAGGGGGCACCUUAAAAAAUUUGAGCUCUUUUUUUGGACAAAUAAAGCUAGUUCUUUUACAAAUGCUGAAAAAAUUAAUUACAAAAUGCCUAAUUUUAUUACUCUAUUGUCUAAUUUUGUCUUGAAUUGUUUACAAUCUAAUGCUCAUUUGUACUAAUUAACUAAAUACAUGCAACUCAACAAAGUUUAGACAUUAGUACGUGAGAAAAAUAUACAAGACGGAGGGGCAUUUAAAAACUAAAAGAGGAUUUUCACUAUUUUAAUAUGAUUAAUUGAAUAAUUUGUAAAGCAAAAAAAUGGGGAUGAUUAAUUGAAUAAUUUGUAAUGAAAAAAACAGGGAUGAGAGGGGGGGCAUGUGCCCCCACUGGGCCUUACCUCCCUCCGUCCAUGUGAGUCUGCGAUUUUCUACCACUUCGUCAGCCCGUCUUUUGGUCUCAAAUCCUUUCUUUUUCUUUCGCAAAAUUGUCUUAGUAGAGGUCCAGCGUUUGAUUUUUGUUUUUUUGGAUUUAGUUUCCAGUCUCUCCCGUUAUUGAAUGCUUUGUUGUUGGGCGUUUUCUUCUCAUCUUGCGAUCGUCGGGGAAGAACUUUAAGGUUAGUUUGUUCUUCGUGUUUUAUCCUCAUUUUGCUAUCUCUAGGCCAAGAAAUUUAAGGUCUUUGUUUUUGUUUUUUCUGCGGAUCUGCAGGUUGGGACAAAGUUUUUGUGAAAUUGGUGACUAAUCGCAUGCUGCCUCUUCAGAUUAUUGACAAAGAAAAUUAUAUUGAGCUUGGGUAUGUUUUACAACAACUACGUGUAAUUUUCGAUUCUCAGUUUGUAUUUGUUUGAAAGGAACCCUGAAAAAAACUGUGGCAAUUUGGUUCUCUGUUGUGUUUAUGCUGGCUGUAACAAAUUGGUUUACCGUGUGUAUAAUUUUUUGCUACAAAAUUGGUACAUUCUAAUCGUUCUUAAAAAAAAGACUCAAUUUGUUUUCCAAUUAUUUUUUAGAGUUGUUUUCGUUAUUGGUUUAAAUCAAUGUCCAGAAACCAAAAAGCUUUCAAAAGCAAAGGAUUUAACAUUACUUAAGGGUUUUACAGAGGUUUAAAAGCUUGAAUGCUUAAUUAAAGUUUUGUUUAGAUCAAUGUAUAGAGACGAAAAAGGUUUGAAAAGGAAAGUAUUUCAGAUUGCUUGAAGCUUUUACACCAGUUUAAAAGCUUGAGUGACUAAUUAAAGCUUAAUUAUGAAUUCAACCAUAUUUUACUUAAGUUAAUCAAUCAUGUAACUACUGAAAGUAUAUGAUUCAGUUACCUUUUUGAAAAUGAGUACCUUUCUUUUUUAUUAAGGAUCAAGAACAUUCAUGCUAUCAAUUUUUCUCAAUGAUGAGGCAUUUCAUUUUCUUUCGUUGUCAAAUAGUGUUCUCUGGUGGUUGCAAAGUAAUACAUAUGUAUAUAGAGCAGGUCAUUAAUAAACAAUCUGUUUGGUUCUAAUUUUUUGAUAAUUCGGUAUUAUUGGAAAGAUAAUGUGGACAAGGAGCUGUUAACUCUUAUUUAUAUAAACAGAUGCAUAAAAUUUGUUUUGCACGACAAAGCUUAUAUGUAUUUGGUUAACAAUGCGAGUAUUCUGAGUUUUGUUAAUUCAGUAAAAUGUAUUGUAGGUCAUUAAAUUUUGACAUCCGUUUCACUAAUACUGCUUUUAUUCUCAGCAAAUAUAACAUGACCUUACAUUUUUUGAACUUUCAUCUGAUACUGUUUUCUAUAGAGAAGAUAAUCAUCGCAGAAAACUCAAUCUAACGAUACUUUUCCUGCUACUAAAAGCAUUCUCUUAACCUUCAACUUAAGUAAGUGCUGCAUUUUUAUAUAUGUACAUGGUUUACAUAGUUUUUAACCAUUACAUCACCCAUUGUCUAUAGCUGUGUGUUGUUUCUAAUUGCUUACUGUACUGAAAUAAUUGUAUUUAAUCAUAUUUUAAUAAGUGAAGUUUGUAAAAUUGGUUUCCAGGUAUGGUUAAGCAGUUAAAAGGUUUGUUUAAUAAUUUGAAGAAAAAGAACAUAAAUCACUAAUGUAACAGGUAUGUCACAACUUCAACAAAUAGGUUUCAAGAACAUGUAAAUACAAGGAUCCAAGAGUAUGUCAAAUAAAUUAACGUUUUAUUACUUUUUUUUUAUUACUUUUCUACAUUUAAAUUCAAUAUUUACUGACCUUUCUCCUCAGGGGAAUUAGUUACUACUAAUUUAUAUACAGACUAUCUUCUAUUUAUCUAAUCUAAAUACAUGGCCUUGCCUACACAUUGAGAGGUUAAGUUAAACAUAAAAAAGUAGAAAUAUGCCAUCUCCACAUGCUUUAAUUAAGUUAAGGAACAUCUUACCAAUAGCAGAAUUGUUAAAUCUAUCCAUGCACCGUUGCUGUUAUUCAUUGAUUAGAUUUAAUAAUUCUUCUAUACGUAAUGUAUUCUUUCGCUAAGUUAAAGCAUGUAGAGACGGUGUAUCUUUGGUGGGAACAUUUGUACUCAUACUAUUCCAUGUUUAUCUUAAACCUUUUAAUGCAUAGAUAAAAAAUUGGCCAUACAUUUAGGGUAGGUCAAAAUAAUAAAGUUUGUAUAUAAAUUGCUAAUAGCUAAUUCCUUUGAGGAGAAAAGAUGGAAAUGAUGAUUUUUCCUCCGAAUAAUGGAGCAUAAAAAACAUCUCUAUAUUGCAGAGAGCAACCUAUUUAGCUAAAUCUGAUCCAUCCUCUUAAUAUGCAUGGUGUGCAGUUUCUGAUUUUUAAUCAAACUUCACACUAUUAUUUUCAUUUGGUAAUAGGUUUUAUAAAAUUUGCCCAUCCUCUUAAUACACAUGGUGUGCAGUUUGUGAUUUUGUACAUAGUUUUAUAAUCUUUAAACAUCAUUUCAUCACAUUUUGGGAAAUGAUGUAACCAUUUGUCUCUUCACCGUCUUAAAUUGUAUAAAAUUAACCCUUUAUUCUGUUCAUGAAAGUACAACGGUGAACUGACAUUAUGUAAAUUCACAAUCCGAGUAAGUCCUCGAUUUCACAUAUUUUAAUUUAUUUAUACUUUUGUUCACAUUAAUCAAUAUUAUACUGCAGUUUGAAAUCUAUGAUAUACAUCUAUCUACUUUCAAACCUAAAUUCUACAUCUAUUAGAUCAAAUUAAAAAACCCCUACAAGCUUAGAUAUAUAUUUAUUUAGCUCUCUGUAUUAAGAAUUUAUGGGUGUUGUUCUUCUCAUUUAAAAAAAAAAUUAAAUUUAAUAUAUUCAUGUACUCUGUUUGGAUACAUUGAAAGUAUAAUCAACAAUAAAUAUUUAAGUCUGUGACAUCAGGCAAUUUAGCAUGGUUACUUGCUGUUCUCUUCAAGGUCAGACAAAGUUUAUCUUUGUAAAUAUAUGUAUCUUACCAAAAACCAUAAAUGAUACUACAGAUCUUUUUUUUUCCUCUAAUUUUUUUAAUUUUUUAAUUUUUUAAUUUUUUUUAACAAAUGCUUCUCAACAAUUGAGCCCUUUUUGUCACUAUUCAUAUUGCAGGAGUUGAGCUUCCACAAAUUUCAGGGCGUUCAAACUUUAUCCUCUCGAAUGAAAUGGUAAUGAAAUUUCUUAAAAUUAUAGUUUAUUACUAUAAAAGAUGACUUAUGUUCUCAGCCUCAUAAUCUAUGUAUGUUUACACAUUAUCCAACUUGCUUUGCUUCUACAAAAUCAAAAUACUUAUAUCCGCCUACAAAAUUCUGUUGAAGAAGAGAGAUUUUUUGUAACAUCCCACAUCGCCCAGGGGAGUGAUCCUUAAAUAUAUAUUCUCAUCCCUACCUAGCACGAGGCAUUUUGGGAGCUCACUGGCUUCGGGUUCCAUAGGAACUCCGAAGUUAAGCGAGAAGGAGGCCAGAGCACUCCCAGGAUGGGUGACCCACUGGGAAGUUGCUUGUGAGUUCCCAAAAACAAAACCGUGAGGGAAUGGUAAGCCCAAAGUAGACAAUAUCGUGCUACGAUGGUGGAACGGGCCCGGAAUGUGGUGAACCCGGGCCGGGAUGUGACAUUUUUAAACUACAGUUUUUCUUUAAUUAUUCACAAAUGUAUGUACAGGUUAACGAAAAAACAUGUAUGCUUUUUUGGUGAAUUUGAUUCGAAUUGGUAAAUUUUGGUAACAAAAAAACCUAUGAUAAAUUAAAACACUCAUUAAAUAAUAUUAUCUGUUCAGUGUAUCUAUAUAUAGUUAACAAAUUGUUCAAUGAGUUUUGUGUAUGUAAAACUCUCAUCUUCUAUCUAUUUGUGGCUAAUCAACAUCGCUUGUUGGUGAUGGAUGUACAUAUCAAAAGAGUGAGACAAAAGAACAAGACUUGGAAGUGUCCAAGGACUAGAUGGUGGAAUCUAAAAGAAGAAAAACAAGCCAUUUUCAAAGAGAAAGUAAUCACCCAGUGUGUGUGGGAUAGAGAGGGGGAAGCUAGCCAAAUGUGGGAUUCCAUGGCUAGUUGUAUCCGAAAAGUAGCAAAAGAGGUAUUAGGAGAGUCCAAGGGCUUUGCCCCACACCAAAAGGAAUCUUGGUGGUGGAAUGAGGAGGUACAAACAAAGGUGAAGGCUAAGAAGGAAUGUUGUAAAGCCUUAUACAAGGAUAGGACUGAUGAAAAUGGUGAAAGGUAUAGAAAAGCGAAGCAAGAGGCGAAGAAAGCUGUGAGAGAAGCUAAGUUAGCGGCUUACGACGAUAUGUAUAAACGACUAGAUACCAAAGAAGGAGAGUUGGAUAUCUAUAAACUAGCGAGAGCAAGGGAAAAGAAGACAAGAGACCUAAACCAAGUGCAUCAAGGAUGAGGAUGGAAAAGUUCUUGCUACAGAGAAUGCAGUUAAAGACAGAUGGAGAGGUUAUUUUCAUAAUCUUUUCAAUGAAGGACAUGAAAGGAGUGCUUCUUUAGGGGAGUUGAGUAACUCAGAAGAGUGUAGAAACUACUCUUUUUAUCGUCGAAUCCGGAAGGAAGAAGUGGUUGUAGCUUUGAAGAAGAUGAAGCAAAGAAAAGCAAUAGGCCCAGACGAGAUACCAAUCGAAGUGUGGAAAGUUUUGGGAGAGACAGGUAUAACAUGGCUCACUGACCUUUUCAAUAGGAUUUUGAAAACGAAGAAGAUGCCAAAUGAGUGGCGAACGAGCACUUUAGUGCCUAUCUACAAGAAUAAGGGCGACGUACAAAAUUGCAUGAACUAUAGGGGUAUUAAGCUAAUGAGUCAUACAAUGAAGCUCUGGGAGAGAGUCAUUGAGCAUAGAUUGAGGCAAGAGACACGGGUUUCGGACAACCAAUUCGGGUUCAUGCCAGGGCGCUCAACCAUGGAGGCAAUCUAUCUCUUACGAAGAUUGAUGGAAAGAUAUAGAGAUGGGAAAAAGGAUUUACACAUGGUCUUUAUAGAUUUGGAGAAAGCGUACGAUAGGGUCCCAAGAGACAUUCUUUGGAGGAUUUUAGAGAAGAAAGGAGUACGAGUAGCAUAUAUCCAAGCUAUAAAGGAUAUGUAUGAAGGAGCAAAGACUGCCGUAAGAACUCAUGAAGGACAAACCGAAAGCUUUCCCAUAACUGUAGGAUUACAUCAAGGCUCAUCCUUAAGUCCUUACCUUUUUGCGUUGGUAAUGGAUGAGUUAACAGGACAUAUUCAAGAUGAUAUUCCUUGGUGUAUGCUUUUCGCAGACGAUAUAGUGUUGAUAGAUGAAACUCAGGAAGGGGUAAAUGCAAAGCUUAACCUUUGGAAAGAAGUGUUGGAAUCUAAAGGUCUUCGCCUAAGCCGAUCAAAGACAGAAUAUAUGGAGUGCAAGUUCAGUGCAAAUGGAGGCCAAAACGAGUUAGGGGUGAGGAUCGGUGAUCAAGAAAUACCAAAGAGCGAUCGUUUUCGUUACCUAGGAUCUAUCUUGCAAAAGAACGGAGAAUUAGAUGGAGAUCUCAACCAUAGAAUACAAGCUGGAUGGAUGAAGUGGAAGAGUGCAUCCGGCGUGUUGUUGUGUGACCGCCGUAUGCCAUUGAAGCUCAAGGGAAAAUUUUAUAGGACGGCAAUAAGGCCGGCGAUGCUGUAUGGCACAGAAUGUUGGGCGGUGAAGCAUCAACACGUACACAAAAUGGGUGUAGCGGAGAUGAGGAUGCUUCGUUGGAUGUGUGGGCACACGAGAAAGGAUAAGAUUAGGAAUGAGGAUAUCCGGGGUAAAGUAGGAGUAGCCGAAAUUGAAGGAAAGAUGAGAGAAAAUCGGUUACGGUGGUUUGGACAUGUGCAAAGAAGGCCUACUGACGCUCCGAUUAGAAGAUGCGACUAUGGGGCAGAGGUUCAGGGCCGAAGGGGUAGAGGAAGACCUAGGAAAACUUUGGAAGAGACUCUAAGAAAAGACUUAGAGUACUUGGAUCUAACGAAGGACAUGACACAGGACCGAGCACAAUGGCGUUCUAAGAUUCAUGUAGCCGAUCCCACUCAGUGACUUGGAUUUUCCAAGUCUCCAACCGAGAAGUUUUCCUCACUCAGGAAAUUAAGGGAACACUACCUCAACCUACAUGCUCCACUCACAAAGCUCCAACAAAAGAAAAUUCAAAGAACUUAGCGAAGAAGGCUUUGGUGUAUUUAACACAAUACGUUGAAAUGAAGGAAAGCUUAUUUAUUGAUAUCCCCGAUAAGCUACAAAUAUGUACAUAUACAUGAGUCAAAAUAAACAAACAAGAGAGAGCCUUCACAAAGGUUGCUUAGGAGAAGUCGCAGCAGUCGGUAGAGCCCCAGAAAGCGAAGGCACCGGAGGGGGAUCAUUCGGAGCCUCAGUACUGGACAGAACCCUAGAAGGAGGAGGCAUCAGAGGUUGAUCAUUUGGAGCUUCAUUACGCGGUACAGCCCCAGAAGACGAAGGCAAUAAAUGCCUUUGGAACAAACCACAAAAUCUCUGAUGAUCAAGUAAAACCUGACCAUCAGAUUCCUUCAUCUGGUCCAACUUCCUCUUCAUGUUUGUAGCAUAGUCAUGUGCGAGACGGUGCAACUGUUUAUUCUCAUGCUUGAGCCCUCUAAUCUCCUGUUUGAGACUCAUCACUUCAGCCGCCAAUGAUUCAACUUGGCGGGUUCGAGCAAAUAGGCGUUGGGCCAUAUUAGACACAGAACCUGCACACUGAACACUGAGAGCCAGAGAAUCCUUAACAGCUAACUCAUCAGAUCGUUUGGAAAGUAGUCUGUUAUCUUUGGGAGUGAGAAGGUUCCUGGCCACCACCGCAGCGGUCAUAUCAUUCUUCAUAACGGAAUCCCCAACGGUAAGAGGACCAGUAGGGGAGACGAAGGAUGGGCGCCAUAUGUUGUCUGGAGAAGGCGGGGCUGCCUCUUCAACAAGGUUCAAAGUCAAAACGACGGUCGGAGGGGCCAGACAUUUUCAAAGGUGUUGAAGAGAGAAGAGGUCGAACAAAUCAAGAUCUUAGAAGUGUAAGAAUGGAGCUUCUACUGGUGGAGAUUCAAGUGUGCUUUGGAACUUAAUGCCAGCCCCUAUAAAAAUCUGCACUCGACGGAGCUUCAGAAAUCGAAGAGGGCGCCUGCUCAGAAAUCGAAGAGGCGUUUGCUUUCUCAAAAAGCUGGGCUGCUCAGAGACCACGAGGGUCGAUCUCAGAAAUCGAAGAGGCGUCUGCUUUCUCAAAAGUUGGGCUGCUCAAAGACCACGAAGGCCGAUCUCAGAAAUCGAAGAGGCGCUUGCUUUCUCAAAAGUUGGGCUGCUCAGAGACCACGAGGGCCGAUCUCAGAAAUCGAAGAGGCACCUACUUUUCCAGCCUUGGCAGCACCUGUCACACGCACACUCAGCUUUGCGGAAAUUAUGGGCAUUCUGUCGAAGACUUCUGGUGAAGUAGAAAGCACAUGAGUCUUACUGUUCAAUCACCCACACGCAAUAGUAGCUCAUGUGUAUCACAGAUAACUUUGCCAAAGUUCUCUGCCAAAGUUGAGCACGUGAAGCUUGCAGCUUCCACUACAUCGCUCUGACCAAGACGGGUAAAAGAAUAGCAAAGAAACAGCACUAACAAAGUUUAGACACAUAAAUUUUGAAGGUCUAGCUACCCCAUAUUAUUACCCACAAGGGUAAAGGAACAGUAUCACUGCUGGAUAAUUGGAAAGUCCCUGUGUGUCAACCUCUGUGCUUCGUGGCAAGGUAGACUAGCAAACAUGCCCAACCUUUACUCACAUUCGAGAAAACACUCCCAACAAGAUUGCUUGCUCCAAAAUCGAAGAGGCACCGUCCUCCGAAUCUCGAGAGCCAGACUCCCAACAUGAUUACUUUCUCAAAAAUCGAAGAGACACCGCUCUUCGAAUCUCGAGAGCCAGACCCCCAGCAUGAUUGCUUUCUCAAAAAUCGAAGAGACAUCGUUCUCCGAAUCUCGAGAGCCAGAUCCCUGAUAGGAUUGCUUGUUCGAAAACCGAAGAGGCAACACUUUCCCAACUACAAGAGCCGGAUCUCCUUGGAUAAAGCUGUCUGUAAUCUUCACACGCAACAUCAGCUUUCCACAUACCACAGACCACUUUUUCAAAGUGCUCUGACAGGGUAAAGGAAUAGCAUUACUACUUGUUGUUAAGGAGACUCCUAUAUAUGUCAACCUCCAUCCCCAACGGACAGACAGACCUGCAAAAAUGCUCAACCCUUCCUCAUAUAUGAGAGGGCACUCUCAACGAAGCCUUUUGAAAUAUUCAGCUUUCUUUCCCCCCGAUAAUACCUCUGCAAACAAGUUAUACUAGAGCAAGAAUAUCUCAUAUCAUCAGGGUUAAAAGCAAGAGUAUCCCAUAUCAUGCUUUUUCCCUGUCUUUUCCUUUGGCCUUGUUCUUACCUGCAAGACAAGGAGAAAGAGAGCAAUCAAUCAGCACUUGGAAUCAAGCUUCCAGCCAGGAACUGACUGCCUGGAACUUACUUACCUGGCAUUGCUCUCGAGUACUCAUCUUCAACAUCUUAUGCUUCCAGGGAAGAUACCGCAUCUGCCUGAGGAACAGAUAGGGCAAGUGAGAAGGAUACAAGGAAGCAUGUGGAGACAAGCGUAACAGCACACGUGCCGAUACAUCCAUUACUCUGUCAAAGCAAAAGUAUCCCAUAUCAGUAGGGUCGAACGUACUCUAGAUUUGAUGGACUUGUUUUGACCCUCAAAUUCUUCAGUCGGCCUUAUACUCUGGAGGAAACCAGAAAACCCUCCAGCUCAGUUCAAGAAUAAGCCUGUGGAAAGUUACUUCUUCAAAAGCAAAAGUAUCCCAUAUCAUCUCUUCUCAUUUUUCUUCUCUUUAUCCUUCAUGCUGCCUGCAAGAUAGGGAGAAUGUGAACAAUCAGCCGGAGCUCUGAUUGCUUUCCUUGUCUGUCACCUCUUUCAGCAAAUCCCCUAGCUCGGCAACUUGAGGGACUCCUACUACAUGGUUUGUAUCGCGCUUGACCAAGCCUGAAACUACAAGUAAGCUUCAAGUGAAAUUGAUACAUUACCUUGUGCAUCUCCACCAGUUAAAGAUACCACCCCUGGAUGGAGGAAGAGUACUUCCAGAGAAGAUGCCACAUCUACCUAUGAGACAGAUAAGGCAAGUCAAGACGAUACCACAUUCCGAUACUUAGAAGUUUCGUGAUUACGAGAUCAUUCUCCCACAAUAUUUCCUAAUGUCAUUUGUACUAAAUCAUUCACCUGUACUCACUAAAGGAAAGCUUGAACCUAUGUACUUGUGUAAACCCUUCACAAUUAAUGAGAACUCCUCUAUUCCGUGGACGUAGCCAAUCUGGGUGAACCACGUACAUCUUGUGUUUGCUUUCCUAUCUAUAUCCAUUUAUAUACUUAUCCACACUAAUGAUCGGAGCAAUCUAGCGAAGAUCACAAAAAGCGACCGUUUUCGCUACCUAGGAUAUAUCGUGCAAGAGAACGGAGAAUUAGAGAGAGAUCUCAACCAUAGAAUAGAAGUUGGAUAGAUGAAGUGUAAGAGUGCAUCCGGCGGGUUGUGUGACCGUCGUAGGCCACUGAAGCUCAAGGGAAAAUUUUAUAGGACGGCAAUAAGGCCAGCGAUGUUGUAUGGCACAUAAUGUUGGGCGGUGAAGCAUCAACACGUACACAAAAUGGGUGUGGCGGAGACGAGGAUGCUUCGUGGGAUGUGUGGGCACACAAGAAAUGAUAAGAUUGGAAAUGAGGAUAUUCGAGGUAAAGUAGGAGUGGCCGAAAUUGAAGGAAAGAUGAGAGAAAAUCGGUUCCGGUGAUUUGGACAUGUGCAAAGAAGGCCUACUGACGCUCCGGUUCGAAGAUGUGACUACGGGACAGAGGUUCAGGGCCAAAGGGGUAGAGGAAGACCUAGGAAAACUUUGGAAGAGACUCUAAGAAAAGACUUAGAGUACUUGGUUCUAACGGAGGACAUGACACAAAACCGAGCGCAAUGGCGUUCUAGGAUUCAUAUAGCCGACCCCACUUAGUGGGAAAAGGCUUUGUUGUUGUUGUUGUUGUUGUUAUUUCUCUGCAUAGUCUAGAAAAAUUCUGCUUUCCUAAUCAUUUCUCACAAUUUCAUUUGGUUUUAAAAGUUUUGCUAUAAUUUGCUCUGAUGAAAGGACAUUCUGCGACAAAAACCAGGAUCAAUUUGUUUGCAUCUUGAAGAUUUCUACUUUCACCAAGUUUAUCUCCAACUCCAGGUAUUUUAUCCCAUUGGCAACUUAAAAUCAACUGCAUCUCUAUACUUUGGUAAUCAUUAGGUAAAAUAGGCUGACUAUAUGCAUAUUUCUUCAUAUUCGAACAACAAUCACAACAAAACUAGCAAUCCAUAUGGUCAUAAAUAGAUUUCUAUGUGUAUAUAAAUGCUACUCUAUACCCGCAGCAUUGUGCGGGCACCGCUGCUAGUUAACUCCCUAAUCCUCCAUUUCCUAAAUCCCACUCCACCCAACCGAAGUCCACCAUCAUCAGCACACCACCAAUCUCUUCCCCAAACUUCAUGUACCUAUCGACACUUCAAGAUCAACUUAAUUAGGCAUUUCAAGAUCAAUUUGAUAUUUAUAUUAUUCUAUUUGUUUGAGAAAUAACUUUUCUUAAUCGCAAGGAAUUAGUGAUCUUGUUAAAAAAUGAUGGAAAGGGUUACACUAAAUUGUUGUUUGUAUAAAGAUUAUGAAUAAAAAGUUGUAAUUUAUCAUUUAAUAUUGCAAUGGUAAUCUUUUUUUUUUUAGCUUGAAUAUUGGGAGCACCCGAUAUUAAUAUCCUGGAUCCGCCACUGCACGUGACAGGGUGAUUGUGACACCUACAACUUUCGCUCCCGCAGAAAGUAGUUGUUGAUCCCUCAUGGCUCAUAUCCAUGGAUUAUUUAGCAGCUUUUUAGCUCACCUUUUGCUCUUAUAGCGUUAGAGUGGAGCAAUGAGUUUCAUACUGGAUGCUUUUAGACAUUAUUCUUUGAUAAUCUUUCUAUUUGGUCUUGCAUCAGUCAUUUCGCAUCAGUCCUUGCCACUAUAUUAUUAUUUCCAGCAUUAGUCGUAUACCUUUCGAUUGCAAACAUGUUAGCCAACACUAAUAAGCCAAUUCUUUAUUGUGGGAUGUCGUUUUGGUAGGAUUACGAUUUUCACGCUCAUUUUUUAACCAUUUGUGUACUCUAAACUGUAUAUUCACAUUAUUUCUAUGCUAACAUAGGAGUGCAGGAGGUUGAAAAUGAGUGAAAAUUAGGAAGUCUUAUAUAGAUUUACAUAACUGCUCCUAGUAAAAGCAAUUACAAGACUCGCUUACUUGAGUUAAACCCCUUGCUUGAGGUUUCCUUCAAAUAGGUAUUCUCGAAGGCUGAUUUGGUGCUCGAAAACAUAUCAAGUCGAAAGUUGAGGCAUCUACAGGACUACGAAGAUUGUGGGUGGAUUUAUCUACAGUACUACAACGAUUUUAAGGUUGACAGUUGGU
rnacentral:lncRNA from 1 species